rnacentral:rRNA from 1 species
AUUGAACGCUGGCGGCAGGCCUAACACAUGCAAGUCGGGCGAGCGGCGGACGGGUGAGUAAUGUAUGGGGAUCUGCCUGAUGGCGGGGGAUAACUACUGGAAAAGGUAGCUAAUACCGCAUACCAUCAGAUGUGCCCAGAUGGGAUUAGCUAGUUGGUGGGGUAAAGGCCUACAAAGGAGACGAUCCGUAACUGGUCCGAGAGGAUGAUCAGUCACACUGGAACUGAGACACGGUCCCGACUCCGACGUGAGGCAGCAGUGGGGAAGAUUGGACAAUGGGCGAAAGCCUGAUCCAGCCAUGCCGCGUGUGUGAAGAAGGUCUUCGGAUUGUAAAGCACUUUCAGUCGGGAGGCGUUACCGAAAGAAGAAGCACCGGCUAACUCCGUGCGAGCCGCCGCGGUAAUAC